UAUACCAGUUUAAUGAUACCGUCGAGUCCCUUGACUUCGCCUGCUAAACCAUACUUCGCCUAAUUUUAAAAACAUCGAAAAAUCUGCUAAAGUUGGGAACCGAACAGCUCAAAACCUACCAAAUACAAUACUAGUGUUAUCUACGGCAAUACUAUUCCUGACCAUUUGUAACUAACUUUACAACAAUAGCGACCAGAGCCAUUUAUCUGCUGCGGGAAGUGAGAUGUUUUUU